CCACUCUUAGGAGCCAGGGGAGAGACAGCCAGUGGCAGGGACGGCAGGGUACUGUGCAGAGCAGCUGCAGCAUCCUCCACGUGAGGCCAUGGCUACAGAUACACACUUGGGGAUCAGCUGGGUAUAGCUGGAAUUUUAAGCCCUGGGACCAGAUGAACUCACCUAGACAAGUGGUGUAGACAAGAGAAGCUGCUUUGAGGAGCUCUACCAUUAGCAGGUCGUGGUGGUGCCCCCCCUGGCCAGCCCCAGAGGGCCGGCACUUCACAUCCUUUUCCUCCCCCACCUUCACCAUGAUCCAUUCACUCAGCCCUCCAGCUGACUUCCACAGAGGCCACUAAAGCAGCAGGCACUGUGCCAGGCCCGAGGAAGCAACGGCAACCGAUCCCGCACCUGUCUGGCUUUGAGCAGUUCAUAGUCCUGCGGUGGGCCAGACCAUGUGGCAGGUGUUCUUAUGGAAGUGAAGACUGGAUGAGAGGAGAGAGCACAGGACACGUCCUCAGGAGCCAGGGGACGAUGCUGCCCGUGUGGGAGGACGUCUUGCCAGUGGGUUUCAGCCCCAGGCAGUUCACUAUGGAUUCGAGGUGGCAACCACCAGUUCAUCUUCACUUCACCAGUGAGAAAAUGUGCUCCAGGUCAUAGAGCAGCACAUGGAUCCCAGCGGAGUCACCAAAAAUCAACUCGCUGCGGGGUCCACUGGCUGAGGGAUCAGCUCACUGAGCUUACAGAUGAUUCACAGGAGUCCUGUGUUCCUUAGAGUUACUAUAGCUUCUCUCCAGUGUUUUGACUGCAGUCCAUUUGCUCUAAAUUCCUUGGCCGAGUGUCCCUAACUGUGGGCCCUCCUGUUCUUUCACGCCUCUGGGCUCCCGCACUUGUGCAUCACAUUACAUCUUCUGUAGGAAAGCCUGUGCUAUGCCAUGCAGCAUCUUCCCUGUGUCCUGCCACUGCUCCUGGUCCUGCUUCUGCCUUUGGUGGUGAAACCAGAUUCUGCUCAGACCCCGACUGAGGACUCUAUCUCACGGUUUCAGCAGAGGGGUUGUUCUGCAAAUUAAUUUUCUGCAAACUGACUGGGAGCCUAUGUGACCAGCAGAAGCUGGAGAACUUGGACUCAAAAUGCCGAGCUGUGCUUCUCCAACACUAAGCUGCUGCCUUCCAUGAGCCUUCCAUGGUGUGAGCCUCCAUUGUGCAUUUAGGUGCUUAUUCUCCCUGUUGAUGUGCGGCCACCGCAGUGCUGGCACCUGCAAUCGGGCCUCAGGCACCAGCCCACGCGGGCCUGUGCUGUGCCUUCCUGUGUGCCCUGCAUCUCCUAGCAUCAUUCCGCAUGGAGUUAGGUGCCUAAUAAAGGCUUGGUGCUGCUGAUGGUAAUAAUGAUGAGACAGCUAUGAGGGUCACAACCAAGAGCAAUUGGGCGAUGUUAAGCUAAAUGUCAAAACCUCCUGAUACUGAGAUAUACAGAAUUGUUCCACACUCCUCCCGAGGGUAUGUUGGAAAAACUCCCUGGACACAGCCCAUCUUUCUAUAUCUCUUAACAGUGCAUUUACAGCCAAUAUUGAUAAACAUAGAAAAGGGUUUCCAAAGUGUGCUUUCAGACAAGGGGUGCAUGAAAAGGAUAGCUAUGUGCACCCCGCCUCUUCUUUUGGCUUCUAGUAGUAAUUCAUCAGAAGCCUAUGGAAGUGGGAGCAUGUGGCUGGAGUACAUUUAAAAUGGCCAUUCAUUCUUUGCUCCUCUGUUGAAUGGUGGGGUCUAUUUCCUUGACUCUGAAUUAGUCUUAUGGGUUCCUCUGACCAGUAGCAUGCUGCAAACAUUCGCUUGUGCCAGUUCCAGGCCUAGGGUCUAAAAGGUCUUGCAGUUUCUGCUUUUGCUCUUGUUGCUCAGCAGCCAUGCUGCCAUAAACCAGACUCCCAGAGAAUGAGAGGCCAUGCAGAGAGAGCGCCUGGGGGAUGAGGCCCUUCUGGACAUUUCAGUCCCAGUCAAGCUCCCAGCUGAAUUUAGCCCGCAUAUGUGAUAUCAGUGGACAUAACUUGGAGCAGCAGAACCGCCUAGCUGAGCCCAGUCUGACCUCCUGCACCAUGGAAUACUGGGAACCAAAACAUUGUUGUUGUUUUCAGUCACUGGAUUUUGGAGUGAUACGUUAUGCAGAAAUAUAUCACACAUUAUUGUUCUGUGAGAGCCAGUCAAAAACCAGAAGUAUCCACCGAAGGGGUCUGCAUAAUCAAUUCCUCUAAAGGAACUCCAUUCAAAAGCCCUUCCAGCCCGGCCUGGUCCACUUGAGGGUAAAUGCAAAGAAGAACAAUGUGGUCAAUGGAAUUCUGGUUUCUGUUGAAAAGGCUCCUUGCCAAAGAGGACCAUGAGCUAAUCAGCUCCCAUGACUCCAGGCCCUGCCCAAGCCAUCCCCGGGGUCACACACCCCAGCACUCACAGGGGCUAGGCAAAUCACAGGAGCAAGUGAAGUAGGCGGAGUACUUGGAAAGCAAUCACAUAGGAAUGAAUACUCUUCCCUUCCAAAAAGACCAAUGUGUUCUCCCUUUUUUCUUGAACCAGACAGCCUUCCCUGGGGGUUUCAUUGCUGCUUGUGCUAGAGACAUAGGUGUAAGAGAAACGAUCUCCACCAUGAGACAACAACAGUGGAAAGAACUCCAAAUGACACGGGACACUUGGCUUCCGGCUCAGGGAGGACACGGAGAGAGGUGUACUACACGCUGCAGUGUGCUGGCCAGAUCCCCUGCAGGGAGACAUGCUGCCAGGAGCGUGCAUGCCGGGGGCUCUCCACAGAGCCCCUCUCUGGGGUUUGCCCUCAGCUGGAAAUAGCCAUCUUGCCCAAAGUCAUGCCCCUUCCUGGGGACAUCCCACAUUCAGUGAUGGUCAUGAGGAUUAUAAAAGUCUGGCUCCUUCCCUUGAAUCAGGACAACCCCGAAAACCAUCCCACCCCCUGAGGAUGGGCUGAGCCCUUGGUUGUGACUGGAUCCACCACAUUUCCAUUCAGCUUCUCUGUCCAGUCUUUCCUCCUUCAGCCCCACUACCAGGGAUGAUCCUGAGACCACUUCCCCAACAUCUCCUGACUAUAAAUCCCCAUCUCAGAGCUGGCUUCCCAGGGAACACCACCACAGGUGACAGGUGGGGACAAGGCUGACCAGCAGUGGGCAGUCACAGCUCCAGCCACUGUCAUGUGUCAUGACUGAUCUAUACCUUACAAUGUUUGAAGAGAAGUCUCAAAUCUCAAAUUUUAUGUAAAAUCUUGUAACAUUUCAAUGUUGAUUUGCUGUCUUGCUGUCCUAUUUGCAUCCUCUGAAUUUAACCCUCUUCACCAAAGAUCAUGAAGUUCAAUCAUAAAAUGUAUACGACCUACUGACCUUGGUAAAGUAAAAUCUAUGUACUCCUGCAUGUCACAUGAUGCUCUCACAUUCUCAGAUAGAUGAUUGAUCAAAUAUGAGAAGAGACGGUAACAGGCUGACUUUUAUUCAGGCUAAGAAUCUUACUGUAUGUCAUUGUUGUUAUGCUGAUCACUCUCAUCCCCCCAGAAUUCAUAUGUAGAAGUCCUAAGCCCUGAUGUGACAGGUAUUUGGAGACAAAGCCAGCAGGACGUAAUUAGGGUUAGAUGAGCCAUGAGGGUGGGCCCUCACAAUAGGAUUAGUGCCCUUAAAAGAAGAGGAAGAGAUACCAGAAAGGGUGCUCUCUCCCCCCUGAGCACACACACAAAGCAGAGGCCUUGUGAGCACACAGCAAGAUGGUAGCCACCUACGAGACAAGGCAAGAGACCUCAGAAUGAAGCCACACCUUACCAGCACCUUGAUCUUGGACUUCCCAGCCUCCAGAACUGGGAGAAAUAAAUUUCUAUUGGUGACAUCA